rnacentral:rRNA from 1 species
AGUGAACGCUAGCGGCAGGCCUAAUACAUGCAAGUCGAACGGUGUAGCAAUACACAGUGGCGCACGGGUGCGUAACACGUAUGCAACCUACCUUACAUUGGGGGAUAGCCUUUCGAAAGGGAGAUUAAUACCGCAUAAGACAGUAACUUGGCAUCAAGUAGCUGUUAAAGAUUUAUCGAUGUAAGCUGGGCAUGCGUCCAAUUAGUUAGUUGGCGAGGUAAUGGCUCACCAAGACGAUGAUUGGUAGGGGAACUGAGAGGUCAAUCCCCCACACUGGCACUGAGAUACGGGCCAGACUCCUACGGGAGGCAGCAGUAGGGAAUAUUGGGCAAUGGACGCAAGUCUGACCCAGCCAUGCCGCGUGCAGGAAGAAGGCGUUAUGCGUUGUAAACUGCUUUUAUAUAGGAAGAAACGACCCUUGCGAGGGGCAUUGACGGUACUAUAUGAAUAAGCACCGGCUAACUCCGUGCCAGCAGCCGCCGUAACAC